UACGUAGGCAGCGAGCGUUGUUCGGAGUUACUGGGCGUAAAGCGUGCGUAGGCGGUGUCUUAAGUUUGUUGUGAAAUCUCCCGGCUUAACCGGGAGGGUGCGGCGAAUACUGAGAUGCUGGAGUGCCGGAGAGGUAGGCGGAAUUCCUGGUGUAGCGGUGAAAUGCGUAGAUAUCUGGAGGAAUACCGGUGGCGAAGGCGGCAUCCUGGACCGGCAUUGACGCUGAUGAGCGAAAGCUA
rnacentral:rRNA from 1 species